rnacentral:tRNA from 1 species
ACUAAGAUGUCUGAUAAAAGUAAUAAACUGUAAAUUUAUUUAUGAAUUAAUAUUCUCUUAGUA